GACGAACGCUGGCGGCGUGCCUAAUACAUGCAAGUUGAGCGCUGAAGGUUGGUACUUGUACCCACUGGAUGAGCAGCGAACGGGUGAGUAACGCGUGGGGAAUCUGCCUUUGAGCGGGGGACAACAUUUGGAAACGAAUGCUAAUACCGCAUAAAAACUUUAAACACAAGCUUUAAGUUUGAAAGAUGCAAUUGCAUCACUCAAAGAUGAUCCCGCGUUGUAUUAGCUAGUUGGUGAGGUAAAGGCUCACCAAGGCGAUGAUACAUAGCCGACCUGAGAGGGUGAUCGGCCACAUUGGGACUGAGACACGGCCCAAACUCCUACGGGAGGCAGCAGUAGGGAAUCUUCGGCAAUGGACGAAAGUCUGACCGAGCAACGCCGCGUGAGUGAAGAAGGUUUUCGGAUCGUAAAACUCUGUUAGUAGAGAAGAACGUUGGUGAGAGUGGAAAGCUCAUCAAGUGACGGUAACUACCCAGAAAGGGACGGCUAACUACGUG
rnacentral:rRNA from 1 species